CUACUUACCGGGCAGGGGAGACACCGGAUCAGGACGGGGGUUUUCCUAGGGCGAGCUCGCCCGGUGCACCGCAGUGUGCUGAUCCUGCGAUUUCCCCCAAUGCGGGGAAACUCGACUGCAUACUUUGUGGUAGUGGGGGACUGUUUGCGCUCUCUCCUG
rnacentral:snRNA from 1 species